rnacentral:rRNA from 1 species
ACCCGCUGAACUUAAGCAUAUCAGUAAGCGGAGGAAAAGAAACUAACUAGGAUUCCCCGAGUAGCGGCGAGCGAAAGGGGAGAAGCCCAGCGCCGAAGCCCGCGGUCACACGGCCGCAGUGCAAUGUGGCGUUUCGGCGGCGACUCGCCGCGUCCUCUCUGGCACGAGUACCUCUGAAUGGGUCUGCCCGCAGCGGGUGUCAGGCCUCUACUUGCCAGGCGAGCGGGCGCGUCCUGUCGUCGUCGCGGAGUCGGGUUGCUUGAGAGUGCAGCCCAAAGUGGGUGGUAAGCUCCAUCUAAGGCUAAAUACCUAGUGCGAGACCGAUAGCAAACAAGUACCGUGAGGGAAAGUUGCAAAGAACUUUGAAAAGAGAGUUCAAGAGUACGUGAAACCGUUCAGAGGCAAACGGACGGAACUGGGCGAUUCCGACGUCGUCAUUCAGCCGCGGCCGCGAGGCCGCGGUGCACUUGGCGGCGGCGGAGCGCGACGACCGCCUGCCGGGUCGUCAGAAGCUCGGCGGCAAGGUGGCGACACGCUCGCGUGUCGUGUUACAGGCCGCCGCGGCGUUGGCAGACUUGGCGGGCGAGGAGCGCCUGCGGUGCACUCCCCUCGCGGGAGUGGCCCGACGCGGUGGGCUUGCGGACGCCGGCGACGAACUGCUCGCAGUUUGUUGUCGCGCGCGCCGUCUGUCGUGCCGCGCGGUGCCACGAGGCACCCAGGGUCCGGGUCGUGUGGUUCCUGGCACUCCGUCCGACCCGUCUUGAAACACGGACCAAGGAGUUGAGCACGCGCGCGAGUCGAUGGGCUCGUUGAACCCCAGUGGCGCAGCUAAGGCAAAACGGGCGUGAUCCGGCACUGGCGUGUCGGCGCAACGCCGGCCCGCGGGCGACUCGUAGCAAGUGCCCGCGGUGCAAGAGCGUGUGUGCUCAGACCCGAAAGGUGGUGAACUAUGCUUGAGCAGGGCGAAGCCAGAGGAAACUCUGGUGGAGGCUCGCAGCGAUCCUGACGUGCAAAUCGGUCGUCAAACUUGAGCAUAGGGGCGAAAGACUAAUCGAACCGCCUAGUAGCUGGUUCCCUCCGAAGUUUCCCUCAGGAUAGCUGGCACUCGGGAUAAAUGGUUUUAUCCGGUAAAGCGAAUGAUUAGAGGCAUUGGGGACGAAACGUCCUCAACCUAUUCUCAAACUUUAAAUGGGUAAGAGGCGCGACCCUUCCUGAUCGGGGUCGCGUGCUUGAACAGAGAGUGCCCAGUGGGCCGUUUUUGGUAAGCAGAACUGGCGCUGUGGGAUGAACCAAACGCGCGGUUAGGGUGCCUAACGCACGCUCAUGAGAGACCACAAAAGGUGUUGGUUGAUAUAGACAGCAGGACGGUGGCCAUGGAAGUCGGAAUCCGCUAAGGAGUGUGUAACAACUCACCUGCCGAAUCAACUAGCCCUGAAAAUGGAUGGCGCUGGAGCGUGCGACCCAUACCGCGCCGUCGGGGCAAUGCGUGCGAAAUGCCAGGCCCCGACGAGUAGGAGGGCGUGUCGGUGGCGUUGAAGCGUAGUGCGUGAGCACGCGUGGAGCCGCCUUCAGUGCAGAUCUUGGUGGUAGUAGCAAGUAUACAAAUGAGAACUUUGUAGACCGAAGUGGAGAAGGGUUCCAUGUGAACAGCAGUUGGACAUGGGUCAGUCGGCCCUAAGAGAUCGGAGAAUUCCGUUCUGAACGGGGGAGACGCGUCGCGUGGGCGGCCGUCAGAACCAGGACACACGCGCGUCACACACGCACGCACACUCGCAACAAAAGUGUACCACGCAAAUGCCAUGCAUGCAGUGAAAAGUACACGCGCAGUUGAGCAGCUGCCUAUUAUAUACCUAUAUUGAUCUAGAGAGUGUCGUGUGAUGCGUGGCGGCGGUGACCGAGUGCGGCCGGCCCGGCGCAGCAAGACGCACGUCUACCCCCGAUGCGAUCGAAAGGGAAUCGGGUUAAUAUUCCCGAACCUGGCAGUGGAGAUUGGGCCCUCGGGCCCCAGUGCGGUAACGCAACCGAACUCGGAGACGCCAGCGUCGAUCCCGGGAAGAGUUCUCUUUUCUUUGUUAGGAGCGGACUCCCUGGAAUUGGCUUGUCCAGAGAUAGGGACGUUGCAUCCGUAAAGCGUCGCGCCUCACGCGGCGUCCGGUGCAUCGGCGUUGGCCCUUGAAAAUCCGAGGGAGGCAGUGUAAUUUUCACUCCAGGCCGUACCCGAAUCCGCAGCAGGUCUCCAAGGUGAACAGCCUCUGGUCGAUAGAACAAUGUAGGUAAGGGAAGUCGGCAAAUCCGAUCCGUAACUUCGGGAUAAGGAUUGGCUCUGAGGUGCGGGCUGCUUCGGGUCGCGGCAAGAAGCGGAUCGUGCGUUGGUUGGACUGGGCGCGCCUUCGCGGCGCGCUCGGACCGCCGCCAGCGCGCGUCCGUGGGAGGCCGUGGCUUUCGCCGGCGUGGGCUCGCGCCCGCGUCGGCUUCGUUCGGCCUAAACGCACAGCACAGA